GGGGGCGGGGCCCGACCGCCAUGCUGACCGGUCGCAGGCUGGAGAGGCUCCUGCAGGAUCUGGCCUAAUCUGGAGGAAAAACCCAAGCUUAAAGCCUGAUUCAGAGCCAAGAGACCACCUCUCAUGUCCGGGUGGUUGCCGGUGCCACUGUGGUCCCCGAGAUCGGGAGUUUUGCAGCCCCAGGGGGAGAUGCGAGACUUCGGGGUCUGCGGCCUAUGUGGGUUGAGAGCGGGGCGGACGGCCGCCGUCCUGCUUUGGAACCUGGCUGCCGCGCAAUAGCCCAAUGAUGUGUAUCACGGGCCCCUGCUUCCCCCCCAUGGACCCGGGGGGAUAUCCCGGUCCUCACUGGAGGGAACCACCGCCUAAGUGACCCACCGAGCACACCUAGCACCCCACAUGCUAUGCCUGGGCGCCAAAAUGGCGGCGACGCGACUGAAGCUGAGAACAGCAUCUUCACCCACCUAAAAACAGCUUUGCCCACAAGCAGCAUACAUGGGCCACGGAGCCCGAACCUGCAGAUAAGCGUUGGACCCUCUACAAAGCCCCUGCUUACCCACUCAAGGAUCAAGCUUGGUUCCACGGCUGGGCGGGGAAUGGGGAGCCCCCAAAGUUGAAACCUCGAGAGCCCGACCAGAAGCAGACACCAAGCGUCAGGAGGAUGGAGGAGCAGACAACCACCAACAAAUGCAGCAGAUCUGCCAAUCAAUACACCCCAGAGGUCCCAGGCCACAAGACCAGAUGAACAGGGCGACAUAAACGGCAAAGCUCCAGUGGACUUUUCCAACACGUAUGGGUCACCCGAUUGACAGUAUGCUUUAGGCUCGGUGGAUACCAACUCUCUGCAUAAAGCAUAUAGUCUAGGCAUAGUUCCUUCCAUCUUGACACACUCAGGAUUCUGCUUACACUUACUAUGACUAGCCCAACCAGUAUCUGCCCACUCAACAUGCAUAGAAUUAAGCUAGAACUAAGCGCAGUAACACGAAUGCAGACAGCCUAAGUAAUUUUAUUAAGCGUGUUUAGUCAGUCAGGCAGGCCUAAAUGUUUGUUCUCACUUUGCUUCCUUCUCCUAACAAACGUGCACCGCUUGCUUAACAGUUACGUGAACCUCACACGCAGCGAUACUCAUGUUCGGGUUAAUGUAUAUUGCUUGCCUUACUCACUUGUGAACUGUAAUACUUGACAUAUGUCCUGCUUUCCGCUACCUGCUACCACUCAAUAGCUAUAUAUUUUUAAAAACAAAAAUUGCAUUUCUCAACUGCCAUAAUUGUGAAGCGUUGUAUUACUGAGCUUAUCACUGCUAUUGUGGCAGAAUAAGCCGAUAUGUUCACUUAUGCAUCC